AUCAAGCAUGAGUAUAAAAUGUUUGGAGUUAGCUCGGUGAGCCCUCUUUGCUCGGUCUCCUCAGCCUACUGACAGCUCAUGUUCAACCACAGACGCAACUGGUUAUCAACCUAUUCUUCCUCUGGAAUUUCACUUUGUGCCAUCAAUCUGAAAGAAAAUAAAUCACCAGAACGGAA